CCUACGGGUGACAGCAGUGGGGGAUAUUGCACAAUGGGGGGAACCCUGAUGCAGCGACGCCGCGUGGGUGAAGAAGCGCCUCGGCGCGUAAAGCCCUGUCAGCAGGGAAGAAAAUGACGGUACCUGAAGAAGAAGCCCCGGCUAACUACGUGCCAGCAGCCGCGGGAAUACGUAGGGGGCAAGCGUUAUCCGGAUUUACUGGGUGUAAAGGGGGUGCAGAGGGGGAUGCAAGCCCGGAGUGAAAGCCCGGGGCCCCACCCCGGGACUGCUGUUGGAACUGCGUGGCUGGAGUGCAGGAGGGGCAGGCGGAAUUCCUGGUGUAGCGGUGAAAUGCGUAGAUAUCGGGAGGAACACCGGAGGCGAAGGCGGCCUGCUGGACUGCAACUGACGUUGAGGCCCGAAAGCGUGGGGAGCGAACAGGAUUAGAUACCCCAGUAGUC
rnacentral:rRNA from 1 species